CUACGGUGGGCGGGCCGUGGUGCUCGGGAAGUCGGUGCAAAGCCGACGCGGCCCUCGCCACUGUGAAUCGGGGAGUUCCCCGCCCAUGUCCCGCAAGGGACAGCCACUGGCCGUCGUGAGGCGGCCGGGAAGGCGCGGCGGGAACGCGCGACCCUCCCCCACUCUCGACUUCGCUCGAGCGGGAGGUACCCCCAAGCCAGGAGACCGGCCACGGCAUCUCACGAAGU
rnacentral:ncRNA from 2 species